UCUUUAGAGAUUUUUGGGGACUGGCCCUCACAGCCCGGCUUUGGAUAAAUUAUUGGUUCAAGAAUUCAGCUUUGAAUUCAGUCUUCCCAGAGGAUCUUCCGGGCCUCCGGUUUGGCUAUUCAGUCUUUCCAGACUCUGAGUAACAUCAUGGAACUCACACAACGUGCCACUAAUAAUGCUGAAAGCAUUCCCAGAAAGUAAACACAUGGCGUUACUAGAGGAAGCUGAACUGCUUGAUACGUGCCAUCGACUGAUGUAUACAGCUAUGGCAUCUGCCAUUUCAGAUGGAGGAUUCAUCUUGGAAACAGACAACAGAAACUUACGGGCUGUAGCGUCAUCACAGGGCCCUGACUGCUCCUUGCAGGGACAGAACACCUCAUCUCACCUGAAUCAAGUUGACCUGAUGGGGUUGCCACAGGCUGAUAGCACAGGAAUGCCAGAGUCCUUGUCCAAGCAGCUGUGAGACUUGGGAGGAGAACUUGACGUCUCAGAGCCAGGCCUGAUGAUCUCCAAGGGUGCUCAGAGGAGGCUGAAACUUUGCCUCUACAGCAUUGCCAUCCAAUAAAAACGACGCAAGCCACAUACAUGCAUGUACGUUUUCUAGUAGCCCAUUUCAAAAGGAAAAAAGAAACCAGAAACAGUUGAUACAACGUGGGGAGAAAUGCCAGAUACAGGCGUUGGGGAUGGAGGCAGCAAACCACAUUGCCAUGUAU